AACCAGUUCCUUACAGUACAUGAUCCCUUGAGGUGGUGGGAGGGAGAGCGACAGGAGCCAGCCGUGCCACAAAGGAUCCACAGAGCCCCUCAGCAUCAGCAGGGCUGUCCCUAUCCUCUGCAGGUACAUAUGCCUUGCACAUUAAGGAGACAAGUUCCCCGGCUCAGGAAAAUGCCCCAGGACUGCACAAAGACCCCGUGUCAGGCCCGAGGGAUACAGCCGGGAGCUGAUAGAGACCUGCCUCUGUGGAGCUCACCAUCGCUACCUUCUGCAUUCAGACACGACAUCCCUUUAGCCAAGGAGCAGGAGAAUGGAUGGGACUUGAGGACGGCAGCAGAAAGGUCUACCUCUGCAUCUACUUCCCAGAAGACUCACUUCCCAGGAGGGUCGAAUCCUCUAUUCCUUCUGCAUCACCCUGACUCCCCACCCGCCUCCUAGACUGUGGAGGCUUAGAAAAAUGAUCAACUCUGCCUGGGGAAUGAAGAGGCUAUUGGCCACGUGGCCCAUAGUUGUGGCCACCUGAUAAGGGGCAGACUGUGUUGUCUCAGCAAGAGAACCAGCCCCACCUAGCCCCAUCAGCCAGAAAGCCAGAAGGGUGAGGAGCAGCCCUCAGAGACCUGCUGUGAACGGAAAAAAGGAAAGAGACAGAAAGAUGAAGGAGAACAGGAGGAGAGCUGACCCCUUGGGAGGUUGUUCUGAUCAGCUCAGUGUGAAAGCCAGGAACAACGUUCUUCUCACUCAGCCACAGCAAGAGAGGUGGCCCUAGCACAGUGGUUAGCAGCACAGAUUUGGUGGCGGCCUGCCUGGGCUUGAAUCCUGGUUUCUGCUUGCUAGUUGUGUGACUUUGGGCAAGUACUUAACCUCCCUGUGUCUCAGUUUCUUUAUCAUUCAAAUGGCAAUUAUAAUAACAGUACCUGCCUUGUAGGGUCUCCAGGAGGAUUCAGGGAGUUCACGUAAAGUCUCUGACAUAGCACACAAAAUGGGUAGGAGUUAACCAUUAUUAUUCUGCACAAUUGGACGCUUUGGAACUCUCCCUUCUUGAAGCUCUCCCUAUCUUCCUGAACAUUCCUUCUCAGUCUCCUUUGCUAGCCCCGUUCCUCUGCCCUCCCUCUAAGUCAUUGGUUCUCAACCUGAGGAACUUGUACAGCUUCCUCUCAGAGAUUCAGAUUUAGUUGGUCUGGGGUGGGGCCCAGACGUGGGUGUUUUUCUUUCCUUUUUUAAUUUUUUUCAGUUUAUUUAUUUGUUUUGAGAGAGCGAGCGAGCACAGGGGAGGAGCAGAAAGAGAGGGAGAGAGAGAAUCCCAAGUGGGCUCUGUGCUGAACAGGGCUCAAAC